rnacentral:rRNA from 1 species
GCGAACGGGUGAGUAACACGUGGGUGAUCUGCCCUGCACUUCGGGAUAAGCCUGGGAAACUGGGUCUAAUACCGGAUAUGACCUCCUGUUGCAUGACUUGGGGUGGAAAGAUUUAUCGGUGCAGGAUGGGCCCGCGGCCUAUCAGCUUGUUGGUGGGGUAAUGGCCUACCAAGGCGACGACGGGUAGCCGACCUGAGAGGGUGACCGGCCACACUGGGACUGAGACACGGCCCAGACUCCUACGGGAGGCAGCAGUGGGGAAUAUUGCACAAUGGGCGAAAGCCUGAUGCAGCGACGCCGCGUGAGGGAUGACGGCCUUCGGGUUGUAAACCUCUUUCAGCAGGGACGAAGCGCAAGUGACGGUACCUGCAGAAGAAGCACCGGCUAACUACGUGCCAGCAGCCGCGGUAAUACGUAGGGUGCAAGCGUUGUCCGGAAUUACUGGGCGUAAAGAGUUCGUAGGCGGUUUGUCGC